CUGAGUGGCGACCGGCGCACGGGUGAGUAACACGUAUGCAACCUGCCUGUAAGCGGGGAAUAACCCGUUGAAAGACGGACUAAUACCGCAUAAUACUAAAUUACUGCAUGGUAAUUUAUUUAAACAUUUAUGGCUUACAGAUGGGCAUGCGCAUGAUUAGCUAGUUGGAGAGGUAACGGCUCCCCAAGGCAACGAUCAUUAGGGGUUCUGAGAGGAAGGUCCCCCACACUGGUACUGAGACACGGACCAGACUCCUACGGGAGGCAGCAGUGAGGAAUAUUGGUCAAUGGACGAGAGUCUGAACCAGCCAAGUCGCGUGCAGGAAGAAUGUCCUAAUGGAUUGUAAACUGCUUUUGCAGGGGAAUAAAGUGCAUCACGUGUGAUGUUUUGUAUGUACUCUGCGAAUAAGGAUCGGCUAACUCCGUGCCAGCAGCGGC
rnacentral:rRNA from 1 species